GGUUAAGCGACUAAGCGUACACGGUGGAUGCCCUGGCAGUCAGAGGCGAUGAAGGGCGUGCUAAUCUGCGAUAAGCGCCGGUAAGGUGAUAUGAACCGUUAUAACCGGCGAUACCCGAAUGGGGAAACCCAGUGUGACUCGUCACACUAUCAUUAACUGAAUCCAUAGGUUAAUGAGGCGAACCGGGGGAACUGAAACAUCUAAGUACCCCGAGGAAAAGAAAUCAACCGAGAUUCCCCCAGUAGCGGCGAGCGAACGGGGAGGAGCCCAGAGCCUGAAUCAGCAUGUGUGUUAGUGGAAGCGUCUGGAAAGGCGCGCGAUACAGGGUGACAGCCCCGUACACAAAAGCGCAUGUGCUGUGAGCUCGAUGAGUAGGGCGGGACACGUGGUAUCCUGUCUGAAUAUGGGGGGACCAUCCUCCAAGGCUAAAUACUCCUGACUGACCGAUAGUGAACCAGUACCGUGAGGGAAAGGCGAAAAGAACCCCGGCGAGGGGAGUGAAAAAGAACCUGAAACCGUGUACGUACAAGCAGUGGGAGCACAGGUUUACCUGUGUGACUGCGUACCUUUUGUAUAAUGGGUCAGCGACUUAUAUUCUGUAGCAAGGUUAACCGUAUAGGGGAGCCGUAGGGAAACCGAGUCUUAACCGGGCGUUAAGUUGCAGGGUAUAGACCCGAAACCCGGUGAUCUAGCCAUGGGCAGGUUGAAGGUUGGGUAACACUAACUGGAGGACCGAACCGACUAAUGUUGAAAAAUUAGCGGAUGACCUGUGGCUGGGGGUGAAAGGCCAAUCAAACCGGGAGAUAGCUGGUUCUCCCCGAAAGCUAUUUAGGUAGCGCCUCGUGAAUUCAUCUCCGGGGGUAGAGCACUGUUUCGGCUAGGGGGCCAUCCCGGCUUACCAACCCGAUGCAAACUGCGAAUACCGGAGAAUGUUAUCACGGGAGACACACGGCGGGUGCUAACGUCCGUCGUGAAGAGGGAAACAACCCAGACCGCCAGCUAAGGUCCCAAAGUCAUGGUUAAGUGGGAAACGAUGUGGGAAGGCCCAGACAGCCAGGAUGUUGGCUUAGAAGCAGCCAUCAUUUAAAGAAAGCGUAAUAGCUCACUGGUCGAGUCGGCCUGCGCGGAAGAUGUAACGGGGCUAAACCAUGCACCGAAGCUGCGGCAGCGACGCUGAUGCGUUGUUGGGUAGGGGAGCGUUCUGUAAGCCUGCGAAGGUGACCUGUGAGGGUUGCUGGAGGUAUCAGAAGUGCGAAUGCUGACAUAAGUAACGAUAAAGCGGGUGAAAAGCCCGCUCGCCGGAAGACCAAGGGUUCCUGUCCAACGUUAAUCGGGGCAGGGUGAGUCGACCCCUAAGGCGAGGCCGAAAGGCGUAGUCGAUGGGAAACGGGUUAAUAUUCCCGUACUUGGUGUUACUGCGAAGGGGGGACGGAGAAGGCUAUGUUGGCCGGGCGACGGUUGUCCCGGUUUAAGCGUGUAGGUGUGUGUUCCAGGUAAAUCCGGUUCACUUUAACACUGAGGCGUGACGACGAGGCACUACGGUGCUGAAGCAACAAAUGCCCUGCUUCCAGGAAAAGCCUCUAAGCAUCAGGUAACACGAAAUCGUACCCCAAACCGACACAGGUGGUCAGGUAGAGAAUACCAAGGCGCUUGAGAGAACUCGGGUGAAGGAACUAGGCAAAAUGGUGCCGUAACUUCGGGAGAAGGCACGCUGACACGUAGGUGAAGUGAUUUACUCAUGGAGCUGAAGUCAGUCGAAGAUACCAGCUGGCUGCAACUGUUUAUUAAAAACACAGCACUGUGCAAACACGAAAGUGGACGUAUACGGUGUGACGCCUGCCCGGUGCCGGAAGGUUAAUUGAUGGGGUCAGCGCAAGCGAAGCUCCUGAUCGAAGCCCCGGUAAACGGCGGCCGUAACUAUAACGGUCCUAAGGUAGCGAAAUUCCUUGUCGGGUAAGUUCCGACCUGCACGAAUGGCGUAAUGAUGGCCAGGCUGUCUCCACCCGAGACUCAGUGAAAUUGAACUCGCUGUGAAGAUGCAGUGUACCCGCGGCAAGACGGAAAGACCCCGUGAACCUUUACUAUAGCUUGACACUGAACAUUGAGCCUUGAUGUGUAGGAUAGGUGGGAGGCUUUGAAGUGUGGACGCCAGUCUGCAUGGAGCCGACCUUGAAAUACCACCCUUUAAUGUUUGAUGUUCUAACGUGGACCCGUAAUCCGGGUUGCGGACAGUGUCUGGUGGGUAGUUUGACUGGGGCGGUCUCCUCCUAAAGAGUAACGGAGGAGCACGAAGGUUGGCUAAUCCUGGUCGGACAUCAGGAGGUUAGUGCAAUGGCAUAAGCCAGCUUGACUGCGAGCGUGACGGCGCGAGCAGGUGCGAAAGCAGGUCAUAGUGAUCCGGUGGUUCUGAAUGGAAGGGCCAUCGCUCAACGGAUAAAAGGUACUCCGGGGAUAACAGGCUGAUACCGCCCAAGAGUUCAUAUCGACGGCGGUGUUUGGCACCUCGAUGUCGGCUCAUCACAUCCUGGGGCUGAAGUAGGUCCCAAGGGUAUGGCUGUUCGCCAUUUAAAGUGGUACGCGAGCUGGGUUUAGAACGUCGUGAGACAGUUCGGUCCCUAUCUGCCGUGGGCGCUGGAGAACUGAGGGGGGCUGCUCCUAGUACGAGAGGACCGGAGUGGACGCAUCACUGGUGUUCGGGUUGUCAUGCCAAUGGCACUGCCCGGUAGCUAAAUGCGGAAGAGAUAAGUGCUGAAAGCAUCUAAGCACGAAACUUGCCCCGAGAUGAGUUCUCCCUGAGACUUAGAGUCUCCUGAAGGAACGUUGAAGACGACGACGUUGAUAGGCCGGGUGUGUAAGCGCAGCGAUGCGUUGAGCUAACCGGUACUAAUGAACCGUGAGGCUUAACCUUAC
rnacentral:rRNA from 1 species